rnacentral:rRNA from 1 species
AGAGUUUGAUCCUGGCUCAGAACGAACGCUGGCGGCGCGUUUUAAGCAUGCAAGUCGAGCGGCAAGGGUCUUCGGGCCCCUAGAGCGGCGGACGGGUGAGUAACACGUGGACAAUCUGCCCCCCGGCCGGGGAUAGCCCAGGGAAACCUGGAUUAAUACCGGAUGAGACGGGACCCGCGGAGGCGGGAUCCGGGAAAGGCGCUGCGGCGCCGCCGGGGGAUGAGUCUGCGUCCCAUUAGCUUGACGGCGGGGUAACGGCCCACCGUGGCGACGAUGGGUAGCCGGCCUGAGAGGGUGUACGGCCACAUUGGAACUGAGACACGGUCCAGACUCCUACGGGAGGCAGCAGCUAAGAACCUUCCGCAAUGGGCGAAAGCCUGACGGAGCGACGCCGCGUGAACGAAGAAGGCCGUGAGGUUGUAAAGUUCCUUUCGGGAGGGGGAACAACCGUGGCAGGGAAUGGCCGCGGGAUGACGUGAAUCCCGGAAUAAGCCCCGGCUAACUACGUGCCAGCAGCCGCGGUAACACGUAGGGGGCGAGCGUUGUUCGGAAUCAUUGGGCGUAAAGGGCGUGCAGGCGGUCCUGCAAGUCCGGCGUGAAAGACCCCGGCCCAACCGGGGGGGCGCGCUGGAAACUGCAGGGCUUGAGUACAGGAGGGGAUGCCGGAAUUCCAGGUGUAGGGGUGAAAUCUGUAGAUAUCUGGAGGAACACCAAUGGCGAAGGCAGGCAUCUGGCCAUGUACUGACGCUGAGACGCGAAGGUGCGGGGAGCAAACAGGAUUAGAUACCCUGGUAGUC